AUGCCGCCAAAGGUGUCCGUCGCCGCCUCAAACGAUGGCGCGCUGCCUGAAGACAUGUUGCGUCACAUCCUCGUGUGCCUCCCCACGAAGGCGGUGUGCCUCUUCCGAGCGGUUUGCCAAUCCUGGAGGUCCCUCCUCUCGGAUCCGCUCUUCGUUGCAGCCCACAAGUCCUGUCACCCUGGUCCACUAAUCGUCACAUGUAACUGUGAGAUGUUUGAAAGAGGCACCAUUAACUUAUUGGACUUGUCUGGCCAUGUCGUUAAGCGGAUAGCCACCACCAUGAAGGAUGCCAGGAUGGUGCGCACACGCCGCCUGGACCUUAUUUGUGUCACCGGACGUAAGGGCUGCCAUGUGAUCAACCCUGCCACGGGUGAUACCUUUGCAUUGCCCAGUCGCCGCGCAAAGGAGCAUGCACAUGUGCAACAUUUCUUCCCACAAUCGUUUGACUUUGGACAGGUUGUCUCCACGGGAGAAUACAAGGCCCUACGCUGUGUUAGCAUAGAUAAUUCCGAUCAUGAGUCCAGCCCGAUGCUCUGUGAGGUCAUCACCCUUGAUGAUGGUCGCCAUGCAAGAUGGAGGGGAAAACAGGGCCCUCCGGCCCCUGUCACAAGUAACCAUAACAGAAGUAUUGUUGUCAAUGGAGUAGUUUAUUUCUUGUUGGAUUUUCUAUACAAACGUUUCACAUUUUCUGGGGCCCGUGUGAAACCGGGUAGCAUGGCUUUGUUCAACCUUGAGACAGAGGAGUGGAUGGGGAUUGUCCAAGGUCCAACUCCAGUGCGCAGCUUUGUUAAGGACAGCAGUGGCAGGUGCGGUUACUUUAGUCUAUACUCGGAUCUAUCACUGGCAAAUUUGGAUGGGUUCCUAGUCAUGGCACACAAUCCUGAAGGUUGCUCUUUGGACUUAUGGUUUUUGAUGGAUAUUGAGAAAUGUCUCUGGAAUAAAAGGUACAGCUUGGAUUUCCAGCCUGAAAAUCUCUUUGCUCAACCCUUGGAAAUUCUAAAUGACGGGAAGAUAAUCCUGUCUGCAUCAGGAUCACUAAGACUAUAUAACCCAAUUACCAAGACUUACAUUGAUUUUGGGAUGAGAAAUUCCACAUCAGUUGGUACUUACACUGGAAGUCUGUUGUCUUCAGAGAGCACCUUCACUUCUGAGGCUGAACGUUGCACUACCUGUGGCUGCUAUUUCACCCUCGAAGCCGGCCAACAUGAUGUAACCUGUCAAGAUUGUAUGUAUGAAGCCAUGUUUGCACGACGGUGA
rnacentral:rRNA from 1 species